UAAAGGUUUGGUCCUAGCCUUAAUAUCAGUUGUUUCCCAACUUACACAUGCAAGUCUCAGCACACCAGUGAGAACGCCCUUAAUCCCUUAACCAGGCUAAGGAGCCGAUAUCAGGCACAGAACUCUUGCCCAUAACAUCUAGUUCCAUCACACCCCCAAGGGUACUCAGCAGUGAUAAAGAUUGUCUAUAAGCGUCAGCUUGAAUCAGUUAGGGAAAAGCAGAGCCGGCUAACCUGGUGCCAGCCGCCGCGGCUACACCGUGGGGCUCAAAUUGAUAAACUUCGGCGUUAAGCGUGGUUAAAGUUUUACUGAAUUAGGAUAGAAUAGACAUUUAGCUGUGAAAAGCUUAUGACCUAGAAAGCCAAAAACGAAAGUUAUCCUAAUAAACUUGAACACACGACAGCUGGGGCUACAAACUGGGAUUAGAUACCCCACUAUGCCCAGCCGUAAAAAAUUUACUCACACCAAUAAACGCCAGGGUAAUACGAGCGCAAGCUUAAAAUCCAAAGGACUUGACGGUGUCCCACCCACCUAGAGGAGCCUGUUCUAUAAUCGAUAAUCCUCGUUAUACCCAACCACUUCUUGCUUUUCAGCCUGUAUACCUCCGUCGCAAGCCUACCGUAUGAAUGCCCAACAGUAGGUUUAAUGAUUUACCAUCAACACGUCAGGUCAAGGUGCAGCCUAUGGAGUGGAAAGCAAUGGGCUACAAUUUCUAACUUAGAACAAACGGAAUUCUACAUGAAACAUAGUCAUGAAGGCGGAUUUAGCAGUAAAAGGAAAAUAGAAUGUUCCUUUUAACAAGGCUCUGGGACGUGUACAAACCGCCCGUCACCCUCUUCAAUAGUACAGCAACUUAAGUUUCAUAACCUAUAUUGAACGUCUUAGAAGAGGCAAGUCGUAACAUGGUAAGUGUACUGGAAAGUGCACUUGGAUUAA
rnacentral:ncRNA from 1 species